GGCGGACGGGUGAGUAAUACCUAGGAAUCUGCCCAUUAGUGGGGGACAACUAGAAGAAAUUCUAGCUAAUACCGCAUACGCCCUACGGGGGAAAGCGGGGGAUCUUCGGACCUCGCGCUAAUGGAUGAGCCUAAGUCGGAUUAGCUUGUUGGUGAGGUAAUGGCUCACCAAGGCGACGAUCCGUAGCUGGUCUGAGAGGACGAUCAGCCACACUGGGACUGAGACACGGCCCAG
rnacentral:rRNA from 1 species